AGUCGAACGGGCUGUUUAUGCAGCCAGUGGCGGACGGGUGAGUAACACGUAGGUGACCUACCCCAAAGUCUGGGACAACUAGGAGAAAUCUUAGCUAAUCCUGGAUGUGGACAUCUACUUUGGUGGAUGUUUAAAGCUUCGGCGCUUUGGGAUGGGCCUGCGGCGCAUCAGGUAGUUGGUGGGGUAAUGGCCUACCAAGCCGACGACGCGUAGCUGGUCUGAGAGGACGAUCAGCCACAGGGGUACUGAGACACGGACCCCACUCCUACGGGAGGCAGCAGUUAGGAAUCUUCCGCAAUGGGCGAAAGCCUGACGGAGCGAUACCGCUUGAAGGACGAAGCCCUUCGGGGUGUAAACUUCUGAACUCGGGACGAUAAUGACGGUACCGAGGUAAUAGCACCGGCUAACUCCGUGCCAGCAGCCGCGGUAAUACGGAGGGUGCGAGCGUUACCCGGAUUUACUGGGUGUAAAGGGCGUGUAGGCGGUCUCUCAAGUCCGAUGCUAAAGACCGAAGCUCAACUUCGGGGGUGCGUUGGAUACUGUGAGGCUAGACGGUCGGAGAGGGUAGCGGAAUUUCCGGAGUAGCGGUGAAAUGCGCAGAUACCGGAAGGAACGCCAAUAGCGAAAGCAGCUACCUGGACGAUUUGUGACGCUGAGGCGCGAAAGCGUGGGGAGCAAACCGGAUUAGAUACCCGGGUAGUCCACGCCCUAAACGAUGAGUGCUGGGUGUCCGACAUCUGUUGGGUGCCGUAGCUAACGCGUUAAGCACUCCACCUGGGAA
rnacentral:rRNA from 1 species